rnacentral:rRNA from 1 species
GAUGAGCAUGCGUCCCAUUAGCUUGUUGGUAAGGUAACGGCUUACCAAGGCAACGAUGGGUAGGGGUCCUGAGAGGGAGAUCCCCCACACUGGUACUGAGACACGGACCAGACUCCUACGGGAGGCAGCAGUGAGGAAUAUUGGUCAAUGGGCGCAAGCCUGAACCAGCCAUGCCGCGUGCAGGAUGAAGCAUCUAUGGUGUGUAAACUGCUUUUGUACGAGAAGAAACACUCCUACGUGUAGGAGCUUGACGGUAUCGUAAGAAUAAGGACCGGCUAACUCCGUGCCAGCAGCCGCGGUAAUACGGAGGGUCCAAGCGUUAUCCGGAAUCAUUGGGUUUAAAGGGUCCGUAGGCGGUUUAGUAAGUCAGUGGUGAAAGCCCAUCGCUCAACGGUGGAACGGCCAUUGAUACUGCUAAACUUGAAUUAUUGUGAAGUAACUAGAAUAUGUAGUGUAGCGGUGAAAUGCUUAGAGAUUACAUGGAAUACCAAUUGCGAAGGCAGGUUACUAACAAUAUAUUGACGCUGAUGG